GUGGGGAAUCUUCCGCAAUGGACGAAAGCCUGACGCAGCGACGCCGCGUGAGGGAUGAAGGUUUUCGGAUCGUAAACCUCUGUCAGAAGGGAAGAAACUACGUUGUGCUAAUCAGCAGCGUACUGACGGUACCUUCAAAGGAAGCACCGGCUAACUCCGUGCCAGCAGCCGCGGUAAUACGGAGGGUGCAAGCGUUAAUCGGAAUUACUGGGCGUAAAGCGCACGUAGGCUGUAGUGUAAGUCAGGGGUGAAAUCCCACGGCUCAACCGUGGAACUGCCUUUGAUACUGCACAACUUGAAUCCGGGAGAGGGUGGCGGAAUUCCAGGUGUAGGAGUGAAAUCCGUAGAUAUCUGGAGGAACAUCAGUGGCGAAGGCGGCCACCUGGACCGGUAUUGACGCUGAGGUGCGAAAGCCGGGGGAGCGAACGGGAUUAGAUACCCGGGUAGUCC
rnacentral:rRNA from 1 species